AUUCAAUGAUGAGUAGUGCCAUGCUAAUACCAAGUUCCCAUCUCUUAAUUGUUGCAAUUUAUUUCAAUGGUUGGAGUGAAAACGGGGACAAUGAGUUGAAAUCUCUUCUCAAUCCGAUCUCUGAGACUU